rnacentral:pre_miRNA from 10 species
GACCGCACGUGAUAAUCGAUUAUCCCGUGCGGUCGUGUUAAGUAGACCAUACGGGAUAAUUAGUUAUCCCGUGUGGUC